AAAAAAGUUUUCUGAAUCAGGCCGGGGCGCUAUAGCUCUGCUACCGGUUAAUCCGGUUGCCUGGUUCCUUGCAUUGAUGAGUGAUGUACGGAGCUUAAGAGU
rfam:Klebsiella sp. RIT-PI-d NODE_1_length_2264346_cov_38.3847_ID_1, whole genome shotgun sequence.